rfam:Streptococcus sp. TA 26, complete genome.
AUUUGUCGUCUGAUUUGGUUGAAAUAUUGUCCAACCGAAGAUUACAGCAGUUAAAUCA